rnacentral:rRNA from 1 species
CCUACGGGAGGCAGCAGUGAGGAAUAUUGGUCAAUGGGCGUAAGCCUGAACCAGCCAAGUCGCGUGAGGGAUGAAGGUUCUAUGGAUCGUAAACCUCUUUUAUAAGGGAAUAAAGUGCGGGACGUGUCCCGUUUUGUAUGUACCUUAUUAAUAAGGAUCGGCUAACUCCGUGCCAGCAGCCGCGGUAAUACGGAGGAUCCGAUCGUUAUCCGGAUUUAUUGGGUUUAAAGGGUGCGUAGGCGGCCUUUUAAGUCAGGGGUGAAAGUCUGUGGCUCAACCAUAGAAUUGCCGUUGAAACUGGGAGGCUUGAGUAUGAUUGAGGCAGGCGGAAUGCGUGGUGUAGCGGUGAAAUGCUUAGAUAUCACGCAGAACCCCGAUUGCGAAGGCAGCCUGCUAAGCCAUGACUGACGCUGAUGCACGAAAGCGUGGGGAUCAAACAGGAUUAGAUACCCUUGUAGUC